AAACAUUGUCAGUGAGCAAUCACCGCUGUGAAGGUGCUGCAUGGUUGUCGUCAGCUCGUGCCGUGAGGUGUCGGCUUAAGUGCCAUAACGAGCGCAACCCUUAUCUUUAGUUACUAACAGGUUAUGCUGAGGACUCUAGAGAGACUGCCGUCGUAAGAUGUGAGGAAGGUGGGGAUGACGUCAAAUCAGCACGGCCCUUACGUCCGGGGCUACACACGUGUUACAAUGGGGGGUACAGAAGGCAGCUAGCGGGUGACCGUAUGCUAAUCCCAAAAUCCUCUCUCAGUUCGGAUCGAAGUCUGCAACCCGACUUCGUGAAGCUGGAUUCGCUAGUAAUCGCGCAUCAGCCACGGCGCGGUGAAUACGUUCCCGGGUCUUGUACA
rnacentral:rRNA from 1 species